rnacentral:rRNA from 1 species
GACGAACGCUGUCGGCGUGCUUAACACAUGCAAGUCGAACGGUAAGGCCCUUCGGGGUACACGAGUGGCGAACGGGUGCGUAACACGUGGGUGAUCUGCCCUGCACUUCGGGAUAAGCCUGGGAAACUGGGUCUAAUACCGGAUAGGACCCUGGGAUGCAUGUCCUGGGGUGGAAAGCUUGUGCGGUGUGGGCUGGGCCCGCGGCCUAUCAGCUUGUUGGUGGGGUGAGGGCCUACCAAGGCGACGACGGGUAGCCGGCCUGAGAGGGUGACCAGCCACACUGCGACUGGGAUACGGCGCAGAGUCGUACGGGAGGCAGGAGUGGGGAAUGUUGCACAAUGGGCGCAAGCCUGAGGCGGCGUCGCGGCGUGGGGGAUGACGGGCUUGGGGUUGAAAACCUCGUUCAGCACCGACGAAGCGCAAGUGACGGUAGGUGCAGAAGAAGGACCGGCCAACUACGUGCCAGCCGCCGCCGUAA